GUGUUCAUGGAUGGCCAUGCAAGCACUGGAGAUGAAGUCCCUGAAAAUGAGACCCAGGUCCCGAGGUGAAGCUCCUUCUCUGGGGUGCUCCGCAGGGAUUCCUAGACGGCUGUCCCCCGCUGCUGAGCCACGCUGAGCUGGCUGCUCUCACUGGAAUCCUGGAACUGGCUCUUCUCUCACAUGGGCACUCCAAGGGCCACCAGCAUCUCCUCCUACACAGGUGCAAUUUUUUUCUUCUUUUUUCUUUUUCCGUUCCAGGACACUUGUCACCGCCCUGCCCUGUCCUUUCUCCUCUCUUCCUCCCUCUUAGGAGAGUUGCCAGAGUUGCCAGUUUCUUCUUCUUCUUCUUCUUUUUUUUUUUUUUUUUUUUUUUGAGAUGGAGUCUCACUGUCACCCAGGCUGGAGGGCAGUGGUGCAAUCUCGGCUGACUGCAACCUCCGCCCCCCAGGUUCAAGCAAUUCUCCCUCCUCAACCUCCUGAGUAGCUGGGAUUUCAGGCAUGCACCACCAUGCCCGGCUAAUUUUUGUAUUUUUAGUAGAGAUGGGGUUUCACCAUGUUGGCCAGGUUGGUCUCGAAUGCCUGAUCUCAGGUGAUCCGCCCGCCUCGGCCUCCCAAAGUGCUGGGAUUACAGGUGUGAGCCACUGCGCCCCGCCACCAGUUUCUUCUUUUGGUGCUCAA
rnacentral:lncRNA from 1 species